rnacentral:rRNA from 1 species
AACGAACGCUGGCGGCAUGCCUAACAUAUGCAAGUCGAACGAGACCUUCGGGUCUAGUGGCGCACGGGUGCGUAACGCGUGGGAACCUGCCCUUAGGUUCGGAAUAACUCCCCGAAAGGGGUGCUAAUACCGGAUAAUGUCUUCGGACCAAAGAUUUAUCGCCUUUGGAUGGGCCCGCGUUGGAUUAGCUAGUUGGUAGGGUAAAAGCCUACCAAGGCGACGAUCCAUAGCUGGUCUGAGAGGAUGAUCAGCCACACUGGGACUGAGACACGGCCCAGACUCCUACGGGAGGCAGCAGUGGGGAAUAUUGGACAAUGGGCGAAAGCCUGAUCCAGCAAUGCCGCGUGAGUGGUGAAGGCCUUAGGGUUGUAAAGCUCUUUUACCCGGGAUGAUAAUGACAGUACCGGGAGAAUAAGCUCCGGCUAACUCCGUG